rnacentral:rRNA from 1 species
CCUACGGGAGGCAGCAGUGAGGAAUAUUGGUCAAUGGCCGGAAGGCUUAACCAGCCAAGUCGCGUGAGGGACGACUGCCCUAUGGGUUGUAAACCUCUUUUAUAAGGGAAGAAUAAAUGCUACGUGUAGCAUGAUGCCUGUACCUUAUGAAUAAGCAUCGGCUAACUCCGUGCCAGCAGCCGCGGUAAUACGGAGGAUGCGAGCGUUAUCCGGAUUUAUUGGGUUUAAAGGGUGCGUAGGCGGUUUUUUAAGUUAGUGGUUAAACGUCGGGGCUUCACCUUGAUUUGCCAUUAAUACUGUAAGACGCGAGUUCAGACGAGGUAGGCGGAAUAAGUUAAGUAGCGGUGAAAUGCUUAGAUAUAACUUAGAACUCCGAUAGCGAAGGCAGCUUACCAGACUGCGACUGACGCUGAAGCACGAGAGCGUGGGUAGCGAACAGGAUUAGAUACCCUUGUAGUC